rnacentral:rRNA from 1 species
UACGUAGGGCGCAAGCGUUGUCCGGAAUUAUUGGGCGUAAAGAGCUCGUAGGCGGCUUGUCACGUCGGAUGUGAAAGCCCGGGGCUUAACCCCGGGUCUGCAUUCGAUACGGGCUAGCUAGAGUGUGGUAGGGGAGAUCGGAAUUCCUGGUGUAGCGGUGAAAUGCGCAGAUAUCAGGAGGAACACCGGUGGCGAAGGCGGGUCUCUGGGCCGAUACUGACGCUGAGGAGCGAAAGCGUGGGGAGCAAACAGG